UUGUACUUUGACCUGUACUUCAGCUUUAGACAGGCUGCUUCAGGCUAGAAAGAUUAUCAAAUAAAUGGAAAGUUCUUUACAGAGUGUGUAAUCUUUAGAAUACACUUCUCAUAUCUAAACUCAGCUGUACUGAAGCGGUUUGAAAAGCUGUUUCUAUUUAUUCUUGAAAGAGUUUGAGAGCUGAACUGAAGCACGAAGACAGAGUGCAGGUGAAAGUGAAAGCAGUGAAAUGAAGAUGGGAUUCCUGGGGAGGACCUGUCUCAUUGUCUUGAGUUUGCUACCAGCUGUUUCUACACAGGCAGAUCGAUGGCGUGUCGUUGGCUCUGAUCAACCUGUCAUUGCUGAGCCUGGUGAUGAUGUCAUCCUGCCCUGUCACAUUUUACCCAGACUCAGUGCUGUGGGCAUGGAAGUGAGGUGGUUCAGGGACAGAUUCGAUACGCCUGUUCAUUUAUAUAUAAACAGAAAGGAUCAGCCAGGAAGACAGGACACAGCUUACCAGGGCCGCACUGCUCUCUCUCCCCCUGCACUGCAGACAGGAGAUAUCUCUCUGAAACUGAGAAACAUCCAGCCCUCUGACAGAGGCGUCUAUACCUGCUUAGCUGAUGAUGGAAGUGGGUAUGAAGAAGGACAGACUGAAGUGAUAGUCGCAGGUCAGUAAUGAUUGAUACACAA